AAUGUGCUAUCAGGGGGUUAUUUUCGAAACACCUCAAAUGACUAUUUCAGUUGUCCACACUUGCUGUGGACACAGGAUGUUAGGGAGGCUGUUUGUUCUGCCUGACUAGUUUUAGGAACUUACGGUAACUUCAAACCUAAAAGGAAAGAACGAUCGUUUGCGUUCAAGGUCUAAAGAAUUGGAAUUUCCGGGUCUUUAUUGUAUUUUAUCCUUUUGACUCAAAGCUCAGAUUCAACUCCUUACUCCGAUCCAAACCAAACAAGAAACAACUCCCUAAGGCAGACUUAAAGAAAAAGAUAUUUGGGAAAACUGCCCUCAAAUGCUGAGAGUCCCCUUCUUUCUCCACUUGCUCACCUUCACUCAUUUUUUAAAGUGCUCUUCCUCCUUGCCUCAAAAUCUUUGGCACAGUAGCUUUGAAGAAGUGGAAGAACAGUGAGCUUGGAUUCUAGUCUACACUCUCACAUCCUGGCUGUGUAAACUUGGAUUACACAUAUAGGGGGAGACCUUCAGAUGGCAGAGGAGUAAGAAGUGGAGAUCACCUUCCUCCCCACAAAUACAUCAGAAAUACAUCUACAUUUGGAACAACUCCUACAGAACACCUACUGAACACUGGCAGAAGACCUCAGACU